rnacentral:lncRNA from 1 species
CUGUUUUGCGGCAGGGCCUUGCGUAUAAGGGGUUUUGCUUCGGAGUUUCGUGGUUGUGCUGCAUUUGAAAGAACAUGGAUAAACUGUGGCCAACACGUAAAAAAGGAAGCCAGCUUCCUGAACAAGAGAACCGAAGCAAAGUUCCUAAGCUUCGAAAACUACAAAAUAUCACCGAUUCAACAAAGAGGGAGACUUCUCACAAUCCCAGGAAUCCAGAGGCAGAGAACUGUUCUGCAGUGAGCACCGUGAACAAGAAGAACUUUACUGUCAGGAAGCCUCCUGACCAACUAAGCCAUGUCACCAUUAAAGAAGCUCAGCAGUUAGAAGAUGGCCGUAGAGUCACAGUUACGGGGAUGAUUGCCGGGUUCAGGCAUGAGGGGACCGCAUACGUCCAUGGAAAUUAUCUCCAGCAUCAUGACUUUGACUUUGCAGAUGACACUGGUGCAGUGCGCUUAACUGUUUGGGAGAACUCAAAGUUGAACUUGAAUGUUGGACAGUGCUGCACUCUGACAAAUAUUGCGGUCAAAACAUUUAAAUUGAUCAAAUUUCUCAGUACCACACGUGAUACCACUUCAGUAAACAUUGUACCCAUCCAUACAAAUCGUGUUUUUCACUGUGGACCAAUAAUCGCUGCUAGAGUUUCUGCGAAAUAUUACUGCAUUUGUAAGUCCCUGCUGGAAAAUUUCUCUGCAGACGUAGACAAGAUAAAAUGCGAAAAAUGUAAAAGGAGCAUGAGGUCUAAGUCCAUACACUGCGUCAGGUGGACUGAAAUCACAGUCGCGACCGCAGAAGGGGACGUUAAGUGUGAUCUGACCGACAGCUUUCUAGAUCGUUUAAUAGCCAUGGAUAGACGUGGCUGGUGCAACACAGAUAAACUUGAGAGAGAGCUGAUUGACAUUGACCAUGUGUAUGUGGUUAUGGAGGACGGGAAUGUUGUCACUAUCAAUACGAAAGGCUUUGGACACCCGGAAUGUCCGCAUAAAACUAACUUGUAAAUUGUGCAGUAAAUGCUGUACAACGACAAGAUGUAACACAAUGUGUUACAGCCUAUGUUAUUCAUAGACCAUAUAGAUUUUAAACCACAAUAAGCCUUUAGCUACACCCCCACACACAAUAAAAAUGUCUAUUGCUUUGAUUCGUGCA